AUUGAACGCUGGCGGCAUGCCUUACACAUGCAAGUCGAACGGUAACAGGUCUUCGGAUGCUGACGAGUGGCGAACGGGUGAGUAAUACAUCGGAACGUGCCUAGUAGUGGGGGAUAACUACUCGAAAGAGUGGCUAAUACCGCAUGAGAUCUACGGAUGAAAGCAGGGGAUCGCAAGACCUUGUGCUACUAGAGCGGCCGAUGGCAGAUUAGGUAGUUGGUGGGAUAAAAGCUUACCAAGCCGACGAUCUGUAGCUGGUCUGAGAGGACGAUCAGCCACAAUGGGACGGAGACACGGCCCAGACUCCUACGGGAGACAGCAGUGGGGAAUUUUGGACAAUGGGCGCAAGCCUGAUCCAGCAAUGCCGCGUGCAGGAUGAAGGCCUUCGGGUUGUAAACUGCUUUUGUACGGAACGAAAAGCCCUGGGUUAAUACCCUGGGGUCAUGACGGUACCGUAAGAAUAAGCACCGGCUAACUACGUGCCAGCCGCCGCCGUAACAC
rnacentral:rRNA from 1 species